AUCCCUAUCAGCAGGACACAGACCUGGCAGAGGCACUGCAGGGACACAGGGAUGGUAGGACAGCUCACCAGCCAGGCUGAACCCCCCGUGCCCUCCUUAUGGACUGCCAGGGUUCAGCACAGAAACAAGCAGAUUCUGGCUUUUAUUUGAGGCAGGUUGGAAAGAGCAGUGAAGGUUAUUGAAAACAUAACGAAAGCUCCUCCUUAUUUCAUUAAAUACAAAUCGCAGGCACCACAAGGCCUGGGGAAGCUGGGCAGAGCUGCAGCCUGUGGAGAUGGGACAGCAGAAGUAAAGAUGCUGACUUGCUGCCUUCCUCACUCGAGCAGAGCUCUGUGUGCAAUGAUUCAGGCCAGGCUCCACUCCCUGCUCUCCCCAGUGUCCUGGAGGAAUAUGCUCCGGAAUGCCUUCAGCAAGAGCCUCUAAUCUGGAAGAGUCAUUUCUCCC
rnacentral:lncRNA from 1 species